GAUGAAGAACGUAGCGAAAUGCGAUAAGUAAUGUGAAUUGCAGAAUUCAGUGAAUCAUCGAAUCUUUGAACGCACAUUGCGCCCGCCAGUAUUCUGGCGGGCAUGCCUGUUCGAGCGUCAUUUCAACCAUCAAGCCCCAGGCUUGUGUUGGGGACCUGCGGCUGCCGCAGGCCCUGAAAACCAGUGGCGGGCUCGCUGUCACACCGGGCGUAGUAGAUUUUAUCUCGCUCAGGGCGUGCUGCGGGUUCCGGCCGUGAAACCCCCUACUUUUAAAGGUUGACCUCGGAUCAGGUAGGAAUACCCGCUGAACUUAAGCAUAUCAAUAAGCGGAGGA
rnacentral:misc_RNA from 1 species